UCGCGCCUGGGGUGUGCGCCAACUCACUCGUGUGAUUUGCCAACAGAAUCACGAGAGGGAGCCCAGGCUCCGCGUCGCUUGUGAGCAAGCCCUCCUCGUAGAGGGAAGCCUGUGGCGGCCGGGCGGGCACCCACCUGCGCAAGCGGGUUCAAAUCUCCGGUGAGUAUCGGCACUUCGGGAAACAA
rnacentral:other from 1 species